GGCAACCCCUAAUGGAAGCAGCCGAGGAGAAGAAGAAGAAGAAGAAGAAGAAGAAACAGAAGAAUAUGUCCUGGGAAGAGCGCUGCUCUAAGUAAAAGUCAGUGAAGCCACAGAUGAAGCAAAUAACAAGAAGGCACUCCCAAGUGUUCAAGAAAUGUGACUCACAGCACAACUCAAGGCAAUCACCUGCAGCAGGAUCUUCUGGUUUGGCAAGCUCCGAAAUUUCCAGGGCAAGUCAUCUUGCUUGGUCUCAAAUGCCAUUAACUAGACAGUGAUUGUCUUGCCAAGACGCCCCAUUCACGUUCAUCUUACCGUGUCUUUGAUGAAGGCCUUGGAUUAUUUUUUGGUGCAUGUCAGGGCACUAAGGUUUAUUAAAGUGCAGUUGGUAACUUAUAUAAGAAGAGGAAGUUUAAAUGAGUUUAUUUCUUUCUUUCUUUCUUUUUCAAAUGUGUUGAGGUAGCUUGACUUACAAGGUUGCAUAUUUAAGAUUGUUCUUGGGGAGUUACUGAAGUUAAUUUCUCAGUCUUUCCUUCACAAAUACACACACAUAUAAUAUCCACCAUUAACAAUGAAUAUGAAUCUUUCUUAAAUGUAGUUCUUCAAAACUUGAACUUAGAAUAUUUUCUACCCUUAGUUACAUGGAGCAGAAUGAUUUCAAAGUUUACUUAGUCUGUGGUGCCUACUGGUGGAGCAUUUAAGGGAAGUCCACUGGCUCUCUGAUGGACAGCAUCGGUCCUACAGCAUUACUCACAAAUGCAGAGAGAGAGAAGAGCACAUCUGCCAUUGCUUUGUUGCAACUCAAGAACAACAGAAGACUAACCAUUCUUUUCCACUUCAGCACCACUCAUUAUAAAAAUGCCACUGCUGACCUACCUCUGAUGACGUCACUUUCCAGCCAGCCAUGAUGACAUCACUUCCAGUCCACCUCUGAUGACAUC